AUAGGGCACCACAAGAACGCGUGGAGCAUGUGGCUUAAUUUGACUCAACCCGGGAAAUCUUACCAGGUCCAGACAUAUUGAGGAUUGACAGGCGAUAGUAUAUAAAAAUAUAUAUUUUUAUAUGCAUAAAAAUGAUAGUCCUUUCAUGAUUAUAUGAUAGGUGGUGCAUGGCCGUUCUUAGUUCGUGGAGUGAUUUGUCUGCUUAAUUGCGUUUCAGUAAAUAAAAUAUAUGAUAUAUUAUAAUAUUUAGUUCUGCCUUUAUGGAUUUAAAGUGAACAUAUUAUAUAUAUUAUUAUAUAAUAAAUGAAUGCAACGAACGUGACCGUAACCUUUUAUUGCUAUUAUUAUUUAAUUAUAGCAUAAAAUUAAAGGGACCGCUGUCAUUACUAAAUAUGUGUUAAAAUAGAGUAAGAUUACGGCAAUAACAGGUCUGUGAUGCCCUCAGAUGUUCUGGGCUGCACACGUGCUACAAUAAUUACAUUAAUAAGUAUAUAUACUUUAUAAUAUAUAAUAUUAUAUUACAACCUAUUUCGAAAGUAAAUCGGUAAUCAUUUAAAAAUCGUGAUUAAUUAAUAUAAAUAUAAUUAAUUUAAGGUGGGGAUAGUGUAUUGUUAAUUAUUACACUUGGCCUUAACUAGGAAUGCCUUGUACUCUUCUUUGGUUUAACAUACCAAGAGGAAUACGUCCCUGCCCUUUGUACACACCGCCCGUCGCUCUUACCGAUGAAUUAUAUUAUAAAUCUAAGGGAUUUAUUAUAAUUAAAAUAUAAAAAACUUAUAUACAUAAUGUGAUUUAAAGGAAAGAGAAGUCGAACAAGGCA
rnacentral:rRNA from 1 species